rnacentral:lncRNA from 1 species
UUUUCCGUGCAGCCGAUUGGGGUUUUGGGGUAAUUUGAGCGGUGACGGGUCGGUCCUCGCGCGCCUCCCUGGGUCCCUGCACCUAGUUGGAGGGGACUGAACGACAACGGGGCGCUACUCAGGCAACCUGGGGGACUCCCCCAAGGGCUGUCAGGCUUCAGCUGGGAGCCGAUGCAACACCCCAGCGGGGAGGGGAGGUCGGCCCAUUCUAAUCCCGACGUGUCCUUGGUCCCAGGCGCUCGGAGCAGCAUCUGAGAGGGCUCACUCUGAUCAUCAGCUGCACGUUAAGCCACAAACCGGCGUCGCUUCGGCGUUCCGGAACCCAGGCCUGGGGGCCGCGGGGAUUGCCUCUGCGUGCAACUCCGGAAAGUUUCAAGGGGUCCCCCGACUGCACAGGUCCGGAAAUCGGCUUUGAUAUGGAACUACUCCGCUCUAGCCUGGAAAGGAGACCCGCGCACUCCUCUCGCAGCUAAUUUCGGAUCAUUAAUUUAAUCGGAAAUGAGGUAACCAGUGUAGGAGACAGAGAAAGCAACCGGAGCAUCAAAUGGCAGUUCUCGAGAAUCGACGAGGAACUUAAAUCUGGACUCAGGGUUUCAGUGCGGUCUCCGACUCCCACCACCCCGCCCCUCCGCCUGUCUCGCCGCCAGGUGUGACCUCCACGCGAAGGAAUCUUCUUCGGAUGGGUGCACCUUGCCAAC